rnacentral:tRNA from 1 species
GCGCUAAUAGCUCAGUUGGAUAGAGCAAGGCACUCCUAACGCCUAGGCCGUAGGUUCGAUUCCUACUUAGCGCA